rnacentral:rRNA from 1 species
GAACCAGACCUAGCCCUAAACAACUUAAAUUAAAUUAUAUUUAAUCCUAAAAUAAAACAUUUAUUAAUUAAAGUAUAGGAGAUAGAAAUAUUACACAAGGAGCAAUAGAGCUAGUACCGUAAGGGAAAGAUGAAAGAUUACUAAAAGUAAAAAACAGCAGAGAUUACCCCUCCUACCUUUUGCAUAAUGGAUUAGCAAGAAAACAUUUGACAAAGAGAUCUGAAAGCCAAAAACCCCGAAACCAGACGAGCUACUUACGAACAAUUAUCAGAAUGAACUCCUCUAUGUGGCAAAAUAGUGAGAUGAUUUGUAAGUAGAGGUGAAAAGCCUACCGAGCCUGGUGAUAGCUGGUUGUCCAAAAAAAGAAUCUAAGUUCAUCCUUAAGCACUGCCCACAAAACAAUUAAUUAUAAUGCAGACUUUAGAGAAACUCAAUAGAGGGACAGCUCUAUUGAUAAAGGAUACAACCUGAAAAGGAGAGUAAGAUACCCAGAUUAACAUAGUUGGCCUAAAAGCAGCCAUCAAUUAAGAAAGCGUUAAAGCUCAAUCUUUAUAACAUAUUUAAUCCCAAAAAUACUCGACGACCUCCCUUAUCUAAUAUUGGACUAUUCUAUAUAAAUAUAGAAGCAACAAUGCUAGUAUGAGUAACAAGAAACAAUUCUCCGCGCGCAAGCUUAUAUCAGAACGGAUGCCCACUGAUAGUUAACGACAUAAUAAUUAUAUCCCACAAAUAAACAUACCCUUAUUAAGCCAAAUCGUUAACCCAACACAGGAGCGCUACACGGAAAGAUUAAAAGAAAAAGAAGGAACUCGGCAAACACGAACUCCGCCUGUUUACCAAAAACAUCACCUCUAGCAUAACAAGUAUUAGAGGCACUGCCUGCCCAGUGACACUAGUUAAACGGCCGCGGUACUCUGACCGUGCAAAGGUAGCAUAAUCAUUUGUUCUUUAAUUAAGGACUUGUAUGAAUGGCUAGACGAGAGUUCAACUGUCUCCUUAUUCUAAUCAGUGAAAUUGACCUCUCCGUGAAGAGGCGGAGAUGAAACUAUAAGACGAGAAGACCCUAUGGAGCUUCAAUUUAUUUAUCUAAAAGUUACCCUAUUAAUCCUACAGGAACAUCACUUAACUUGCUAGAUAAAAAAUUUUGGUUGGGGUGACCUCGGAGCAAAAAACAACCUCCGAAUGAUAUUUUGCCAUGACAUAAACCAGUCUAAGCUUAAAAUCCAAUUGACCCAAUAUAUUGAUCAACGGAACAAGUUACCCUAGGGAUAACAGCGCAAUCCUAUUCUAGAGUCCAUAUCGACAAUAGGGUUUACGACCUCGAUGUUGGAUCAGGACACCCCAAUGGUGCAGCAGCUAUUAAAGGUUCGUUUGUUCAACGAUUAAAGUCCUACGUGAUCUGAGUUCAGACCGGAGUAAUCCAGGUCGGUUUCUAUCUAUACUCAACUUCUCCCAGUACGAAAGGAUCAGAGAAGUGGAGCCUACUUUACAAAAGCGCUCCUAUCUUCAUUUAUGAAAUAAUCUUAAUAAAGAAACAUAAAACACUCUAGCCCAAGACCAGGGCAC